GAUGAAGAACGUAGCGAAAUGCGAUACUUGGUGUGAAUUGCAGAAUCCCGUGAACCAUCGAGUCUUUGAACGCAAGUUGCGCCUCAAGCCAUUAGGUUGAGGGCACGUCUGCCUGGGCGUCACAUAUCGUUGCCUGAUGCCAGUUUCCUCGUGAUGGGUGACUGUGCAGGGCGAAUGAUGGCUUCCCGUGAGCAUUGUUGCCUCAUGGUUGGUUGAAAAUUGAGUCCUUGGUAGGGAGCGCCGUGAUAGAUGGUGGUUGAGUGACGCACGAGACCCAAUCAUGUGAGACCCCUACCGAAUUUGGCCUUCAUGACCCACAUGCGUCUUUGGAACGCUCAUGACGAGACCUCAGGUCAGGCGGGGCUACCCGCUGAGUUUAAGCAUAUCAAUAAGCGGAGGA
rnacentral:misc_RNA from 1 species